UCUUCUCCUGUCUCAUUCAGUCCUUGGUGCCACUCUAGCAGGAGGUGGAGCUUGACAGGCAGAAAUCAGAAACAAUCUGUCAACACAACAUAAUUUAGACUCUGGUUGUAGCUGCUCUACAACAUCUGAUUGGGCUCCAGUCCCAGCGAUGCAGCUCUUUAUGUCAUUGGUUUUAUUCACUGGGUUUGCUGGUAAAAGUCAUCAGCAAACCAUCCACUCAAUGCAGGACAGGGUCCAGGCUCUACAAGGAGACAACGUGACUCUCUCCUGCAACUAUACCUCAUCAAACUAUUUAUUCUGGUAUCGCCAGUUCCCCAGCUCACCUCCACAGUUCCUUAUUAAGGAAUACCAGAAGGCCUUUCGAUUUACUCUUAAAAAGGAAGAAGAACGAAACAUGUUCCAUCUGGAGAUCUCCUCUGCUGUGUUGACAGACUCUGCUCUGUACUACUGUGCUCUGCAGCCCACAGUGACAGGAAACACACACUCCCUGUACAAAAACCUGCUGAGCACAAAACUCUCUUCCAUCUCCCCCUGAGAACAGUACACAGACAUUAAUGACAAAAUACAUCAACUCAUCACAAGAUUUAUUUCCUAAUUAAUUAAAGUUCCCUAUUUCCCAUUUACAAAAUAUUUACACAUUCUGCAGUUCAUUAUAUAGCCAUGUUAUUUGGAAUAUUGUGGUUUUAAUAGUGUGGUGGUUCAUUUGUAGAGUUUAUUUUCUUCUUCCUUAAAGGGGACAUAUUAUGAAAACAACACUUUUACUUGGAUUUGGGGUGUUGUUUUGCGGGGACCAGGUUGUUUUCGUUCAGCAGUCUGACAGC